GUCGAGCGAACGGACGAGAAGCUUGCUUCUCUGAUGUUAGCGGCGGACGGGUGAGUAACACGUGGAUAACCUACCUAUAAGACUGGGAUAACUUCGGGAAACCGGAGCUAAUACCGGAUAAUAUUUUGAACCGCAUGGUUCAAAAGUGAAAGACGGUCUUGCUGUCACUUAUAGAUGGAUCCGCGCUGCAUUAGCUAGUUGGUAAGGUAACGGCUUACCAAGGCAACGAUGCAUAGCCGACCUGAGAGGGUGAUCGGCCACACUGGAACUGAGACACGGUCCAGACUCCUACGGGAGGCAGCAGUAGGGAAUCUUCCGCAAUGGGCGAAAGCCUGACGGAGCAACGCCGCGUGAGUGAUGAAGGUCUUCGGAUCGUAAAACUCUGUUAUUAGGGAAGAACAUAUGUGUAAGUAACUGUGCACAUCUUGGCGGUACCUAAUCAGAAAGCCACGGCUAACUACGUGCCAGCAGCCGCGGUAAUACGUAGGUGGCAAGCGUUAUCCGGAAUUAUUGGGCGUAAAGCGCGCGUAGGCGGUUUUUUAAGUCUGAUGUGAAAGCCCACGGCUCAACCGUGGAGGGUCAUUGGAAACUGGAAAACUUGAGUGCAGAAGAGGAAAGUGGAAUUCCAUGUGUAGCGGUGAAAUGCGCAGAGAUAUGGAGGAACACCAGUGGCGAAGGCGACUUUCUGGUCUGUAACUGACGCUGAUGUGCGAAAGCGUGGGGAUCAAACAGGAUUAG
rnacentral:rRNA from 1 species